rnacentral:lncRNA from 1 species
CCGGCCAAGCAAGGGAACAAAGAGAAAAAGAGAAGAACAAACCCUAAGAAGGAAAAAUUCAAGAGAAAUUAUUGGAUUUAAAGGAAUCAAGCAAGUAAAGGUAAGAUUUUUUAAUUUUAGCUUGUGAUCUACCUUUCCCAUGCACUCUUUUUCAUUCUCCAUGGCUGAAUUUCAAGUUUUCAAGAGGGAACGUUUUCUAGCCAAAUCUAGAGAGAGAAAAGUUUUGGUGAUGAAUUUUGCUAGAUUUCAUAAUAUCCUAGUGUUUUUAGUCAUUUUGUGAUGUUUGGAAGGAAAAACAAGCAAGAAAAUCACAUGUUCUUCAACCACCCUCAUUUGGCUGAAUUUUUUAUAGGGCAUGUUGAUGAUGGAUUUAGUUGUAAAUCAUGUUAUUUAGCUAGGAAUUGAUGAAUUAUGAUGUUGGAUAUCGAAACCGGUUAUUAAAAAGUAUAGUUCCUUUAAAAAAUGGCUUGCUGGAAACUAGAAAAUCAUAGUAAAUGGACUUGGAUUUGAUUCCUAAUGAUAUAUAUGGAUUUACGAGACUGUGAGGACAUUGAUUAGUAUGUUAGUUCGGAAUCGAAAUGAAUUUCAGAAAAUGGUGAAGUUAGUCAAAAAUCAAGUUCAUUGUAAUGCUUUGGUGUAUUAGAUUAUUGGAAGUGUAAUGAAUAAAUUUGGAGUUGAAUUGGAUGUUUUGGUUAAAUCAAUGGUGUAUAGUUCGAAUUAGGUCGAAUACAAAUUCAUUCCGAUCAUAAUUGAACCUAUGUAGAACACCGUCUUUAAGUGACUAUCCGAACAUUUCUCAUUCAACUUCAUGUAUUCAUAUAGAGUUUGAAAUAGUUUUAUAACAAUUUGACACAAAUGUAUUGAAUUACGUAUCGUGUAUUAUGGAUAGGUGUUGAACCCUCCGAUAAGGGCAAAGAUAUCGUGUUGGAGGAUCGAGAAUAGGAGUACUCCUACCAUUCCAAAUUCCCAUUAUAGUGAGUAAUCAGAUGUUCAUCUUAAUUAUCUAAAGUGGUUUAUACUUGUUUUAAGAAUUUAAAGAAUAAGGCACUUAAUUUGCAAAUUAUUAUGUUUUACGUUUUAAAUGUUGGUUAAUGAAUGAGAUUUAUAAAUUAUUCUGAAACUAAAUGUUGAUUUUCGAAAUAGAGUAAGUGGAGGCUAUACAUUCAUAUUAUAUAUAUAUACAUGAUUUGAAUUGAUGGCUUAUGAAAUUGUGGUAGCAUGAAUGGCUGAAAUUGUGGUUUUGUGAAUUAUAUAAAUUGUUUUGUCUUACAUUGACAAGUUGGAUAGUACUAUAUUAGCCAUGUUAUGCUGUCGAAAUUUUAUUGAUUUGGUGGGUUAUGUAUUUAGCUUACUGCAGUGGGCGGGUUUCCGUGGACCAGCCUAUUANGAUAGUACUAUAUUAGCCAUGUUAUGCUACCAAAAUUUUAUUGAUUUGGUGGGUUAUGUAUUUAGCUUACUGUAGUGGGCGGGUUUUCGUGGAUCAGCCUAUUAAAAGGGCACGGUAAACCCCGUUAUAUUUUACCUUUGUAUACGAGGCGCGGAGGGUAUCUCCUAAGGUAAGUUUAGAGUUCACUUCAUGUUGAACCACUAUGUGAGGAUGAAACUCAGCCAACGCCAAUGAAUGGCUAUAUUUUAAAAGUAAAACAUGUUUUAUGGGUAUAUGUCGUUUUAACAUCCUUGGCGGACUUAGUUGGAUGCCCGGGCCAAGGUGUCACGGAGUAUGAGUUUUGGCACAAGCCAAGUUUUUAAGAGAACCAUAAGCCUUGUUGAUUAUUUUUAUGAAAUGUAAUUGUUUUAUAGGAAUUGAAAUGAGUUUUGAAUGUUAUGAACUAUAUUAUGAUGGGAUGAUUUAAUUGUCUCAAUUUACUCGGCUUUUAGACAUGAAAUGGAUGCUUAUUACUCGUAUAUCAUAUCUUUACUAGGGUUUGAAAUUUUUGGGUAAAAUAACCAAAAUACCCCUUUGUAGUAGAAAUUACUUUUUGAUUGUUUUUGAUUUGAAAUUAGUCUAUAUUUCUUUAAAACAUGAUAUUUAAUAACUAUUGGUCACAAAGGAGAAGUAAAACUGAUGUGAAAGCUUUGCGAGGUUUCAGUCGGUAUUCUGGGUAAUGAAUGUCAAUCGAGACAUCGCAGCAGUUGUCACGGGCUCGAUGGGAAUUUUGGAUCGUGACAAUUGAGUUAGUAUCAGAGCUUUUAGUUUUAAUAUUAUUUUAAAAACUACAGUGUCAAUGUGGCCCCAAGUUAGAUUAGAUUGAGUUGAAUGCAUACUUUUGUAUAUAGGACCUGAAGUUGUCUAAACUUGUUCUGUUUCUUCUUAUAGAUCUUAUGUGAGCAUUACAUUUGCAUCCUUUUCUGAUAGAAACCUGUCACCAUUAGAGGAGGAAAUUGUAGUUCAUAUCCCUCUAGGGGAACAAUUGAUUAGAAACAUCUGUUAUAGAGAUUAUGGGAUAAGAGUUGGUGAGGAAGAAUUCAAAGCUGACUUAAUUCCCCUAGAGAUUUAGGAUUUUGAUUUGAUAUUUGGUAUGGACUGGUUGACUACACAUCGGGCAAAAGUGGAUUGUUUCAAGAAGGAAGUUGUACUUCAAAAUUUUGAGGGAGUAGAGGUUGCAUUAGCAGGGGAGCGUCGAGUAUUACCAUCCUGUGUAAUCUCAACUAUCAAAGCUUUGAAACUAGUGCAGAAAGGGUAUCCGGCUUAUCUAGUACAUGUGAUUUAUACUUCAAAAGGGGAACCUAAGUUAAAAGAUGUUCCAAUAGUAAAUGAGUUCUCUGAUGUGUUUUCGGAUGAAUUAUCGGGACUACCUUCUGAUUGAGAGCUUGAGUUCACUAUUGAUUUACUUUCGGGUACCGCACCUAUUUCCAUUCUUUCGUAUCGGAUGGCUCCGGUAGAGUUAAAGAAGUUGAAAGUCCAAUUGCAAGAAUUAGUAGAUAAGGGUUUUAUUCGCCCUAGUACUUUUCCCUAGGGUACGCCAGUAUUAUUUGUAAAGAAGAAGGAUGGCACUCUUCGGUUAUGUAUUGACUACUGUCAGCUGAAUCGAGUGACCAUCAAGAAUAAAUACCCUUUACCAAGAAUUGAUGAUCUUUUUGAUCAACUAGAGGGUGCUACGGUGUUUUCUAAGAUUGAUCUGAGGUCUGGGUAUCAUCAGUUAAAGAUCAAGGAGCAAGAUGUACCCAAGACUGCUUUCAAGACUCGUUACGGUCAUUAUGAGUUUCUAGUUAUGCGUUUUGGUCUGACUAAUGCCCUGACAGCUUUUAUGGGCCUCAUGAAUAGGGUGUUCCACCCGUACUUGGAUAAAUUUGUGAUAGUAUUCAUAGAUGAUAUUCUGGUGUAUUCGAAGGAUGAUGAUGAACAUUCUACCCAUUUACGCAUUGUACUGCAAACCUUGCGCGAGAGACAACUUUAUGCCAAGUUUUCUAAAUGUGAGUUCUGGUUGAAGGAAGUGGUUUUCUUGGGACAUGUUGUGUCUAGAGCUGGAAUUUAUGUUGAUCCCAAGAAGAUUGAGGCAAUCUUAUAGUGGGAGCAACCAAAAAUUGUGACAGAGAUUCGAAGUUUCCUCAGUUUAGUCGAUUAUUAUAGGAGGUUCGUUCAAGGGUUCUAAUUGAUAGCUACUCCUCUAACUCGUCUGAUUGGUAAAGGAGUCAAAUUUGAGUGGGAUGAUGUCUGCGAGAGUCGAUUCCAAGAGCUGAAGAACCGGUUGACCUUCGCUCCCAUUUUGACACUUCCUGUUAGUGGGAAAGAAUUUGUGGUGUACAGUGAUGCCUCUAAAUUGGGAUUAGGGUGCAUGUUAAUGCAGGAUGAGAAAGUAGUAGCUUAUGCUUCUCGGCAGCUGAAAAAGCAUGAGACGAAUUACCCUACCCAUGAUUUGGAGUUGGCAGCAGUAGUCUUUGCAUUGAAAAUCUGGAGGCAUUACUUAUAUGGUGAGCGUUGUCGGAUUUUUACUGACCACAAAAGUUUGAAAUAUUUACUCACCCAGAAAGAACUAAACUUGAGACAGAGACGCUAGUUAGAGUUGAUUAAGGAUUAGGACUUAGUGAUUGGUUAUCAUCCAGGGAAGGCAAAUGUUGUAGCAGAUACCUUAAGUCGUAAAUCCUCAUCUUCAUUAGCAUCACUUUGGAAUUCUUAUUUUUCGAUACUACUUGAGAUAAAAUCUCUAGGGAUCUAGUUGAGUAAUGGCGAGGAUGGAACCCUACUUGCUAGCUUUGUUGUGAGACCCUCAUUGUUGAACCAAAUCAAGGAAUUGCAAAAGUCUGAUGAUGAGUUGAAACGGGAAGUUCAAAAGUUACGAGAUGGAGAAACUAGUGAGUUCAGACUUGGUGAUGAUGGUAUCUUGAUGCUUGGGUACCGGGUUUGUGUCCUUAAAGAUGAUCAGUUGAGACGGGCUAUUUUGGAGGAAGCUCAUUCUUUCGCCUAUGCUUUACAUCCCGAAAGCACCAAAAUGUACAAGAUUAUCAAGGAAAGUUACUGGUGGUCGGGUAUGAAACGAGACAUAACAGAGUUUGUAGCAAAAUGUCUCACAUGCCAACAAAUUAAGGCGAAACAUCAAAAACCAUCGGGUACUCUUCAGCCUCUACCUAUCCCUGAGUGGAAGUGAGAGCACGUGACUGUGGACUUUGUAUAGGGUUUACCACGGACGCAGAGUGGAAAGGAUGCUAUUUGGGUGAUUGUGGAUAGAUUGACUAAGUCCGCCCAUUUCUUGGCUAUCUAUAGCACGUAUUCUAUUGAGAAACUGGCUAGACUUUAUAUAGAUGAAAUAGUGAGAUUACAUGGAGUCCCAGUUUCUAUCGUGUCAGAUCGAGACCCCUGGUUCACUUCUCGAUUUUGGCCAAAAUUCCAAGAGGCUCUUGGAACUGAUUUAAGGUUUAACACUACCUUUCAUCUACAGACAGAUGGUCAAUCUGAAAGGACCAUUCAGACUUUGGAGGAUAUGCUACAGGCUUGUGUCAUUGACUUUACUGGGAGUUGGGAUAGACACUUGCUGUUGGUGGAGUUCGCGUAUAACAACAGUUUUCAGUCUAGUAUUAGGAUGGCACCAUACGAGGCUCUUUGUGGGAGAAAGUGUUGAACUCCACUUUGCUGGGAUGAAGUGGGUGACAGGAAAUUGUUUAAUGUAGAACUGAUUGAUCUGACCAAUGACAAGAUCAAGGUUAUCCGAGAGCAAUUAAAGACAGCUCAAGAUAGGCAGAAAAAUUACUAGAAUAGAUAGAGAAAAGAUUUGGAAUUUGAAGUUGAUGAUAGGGUUUUUCUUAAGGUCUCUCCUUGGAAAGGUAAUGAUUUGAAUACUUUGAGGUAUUAAGUCUUAUUUGAUUAUAUUAUUGUGAUAAAUUGUGGUAUCUUGUUGGAUAAUGAAAGGUGUGAUUCGGUUCGUAAAGCGAGGAAAGCUCAAUCCGAGAUACAUUGGACCCUUUCAUAUUAUUGAAAGGAUUGGGCCAGUGGCAUAUAGACUAGAAUUAUUCCCAGAGUUGGAUCAGAUUCACAAUGUCUUCCACUUCUCAAUGCUGAAGAAGUAUGUACCUAAUUCCUCCCAUAUCCCGGAGGCAACUCCGAUUGAGUUGCAAGAAGAUUUGAAGUUUGAGGUGUAACCUGUACGUAUUUUAGACCGAAAGGAUCGAGUGUUGAGGAAUAAGAACAUUCCCAUGGUUAAGGUGUUUUGGAAAAAUGCUCGGAUGGAGGAGAUGACCUGGGAAGUUGAGUACCAGAUAAGAAACCAAUACCCGUAUCUUUUCUCUGAGUCUGGUAAGUGAAAUUUUGAGGUCAAAAUUUAUUUUAAGGGGGGUAGUGCUGUCAAGCCCUACUCUAUUAUAUACUUGUCAUGUCAUUCAUGUGCUUGAUAGAAUGUUUGCAUAAGUGAAUGUAUCGAAAAAUCGUUAAAAGUCGGUUUGUACCUAGUGGUAUAAUUAAAUUGAUUAAAGCCUUGAACUAGGCCAAAUAAAGAUUUUACGAUGUAUUUAAGAGUUAUUGAAUCUUAGAAUGUCUUAGUAUGAUGAUUCAGAAUUCGAGGAUUGAUUUGGAGUUAAUUCGAAAAUUUUCAUAACGUACGGGUAAAAUGGUCAUUUUGCCACCCAAGGGCAAAAUUGGAAUGUUGGAUGAUAUUUUGACUAAAUUUGAUUAAUUUGAGCAUUAUUUGAAUUUAAGAAGUGAAAAAUUUCAAUUUCAACAAUUUUUCAAACAUAGGGGUAAAACGGUAAUUUUAAGUGUCCAUGAGGACAAAAUUGGAAAUUUUCGAAUUUUACACCACCAUGACACUUGUCAAACCUAUGAAUUUCACCCAUUAUUUUUUUAAGUGAGAGAUUAUAUGUGGUGGGAAUGAAAUACUUAAUUAUUAAGUUUUUAAAUAUGGACCAAUUAAAAGGUGACAAGUGUCAAACUUUAAUAUUAAUUUAAUUGUCUAUAUAAACUCACUUAAAACCUUCACAUUCAUACUCUUAUGGCCAGUCAAGCAAGGGAACAACGAGAAAAAGAGAAGAACAAACCCUAGAAAGGAAAAAUUCAAGAGAAAUCGUUAGAUUUCAAGGAAUCAAGCAAGUAAAGGUAAGAUUUUUUAAUUUUAGCUUGUGAUCUACCUUUCCCAUGCACUCUUUUUCAUUCUCCAUGGCUGAAAUUCAAGUUUUCAAGAGGGAACCUAUCACGACCCAGUACUUUCCUUGAGCCCGUGACAACCGUCGCGAUGUUCCGAUAGACAUUCAUUACCUAGAAUGCCAACCGAAAUCCCGCAAGGCUUUAAUAUCAGUUUUCUUGCUUCCCCUAUGAGUAUUAGUUACUAAAAUCAUGUUUUAAACUGAUAUGAACCAAUUUCAAUUAAAAAAUAGUCAAAGAGAAGUUUCAACUACAUAGAGGUAUUUUGGUCAUUUUCCUCAAAAAUUUCGAAACCAGCUAAAAAUGUUGUAUGCGAGUGGAAAACACAUAUUUCAUAAUAAAAAAUAAGUUUAGAUAUCUAAAACAUUCAUUUAAAGUGAAAUUAUAACUAUUUGAAUAUAAUAAAAUUAUUCAAUAAAAUAUUCUAUUUUCUUAUAAAACAAUAUUUAUAGAGUUAUCGGUAAAUAAUAUUUUGUAGCGUAAAAGCUAAAUAGAUUCAUACAUACUGUAAUACAGAUAACCAAAGCAUAAGAUUUAAUUUACAAUGACACGUGGGCCCACGAAUGACCAAAAGUAUCAAAAGCAGUAAACCUACAGUUUUUGAAUAUGCAAGUCCAAUUGUAGCCCUAAACGAAAUGAGCUAUUUACCGACUAUCCUGAGCUUGAAAUGGGUGGAAAGGAGGGUGGUGAGAUUAUAUAAUCCCAGUGAGUAAACAAAUACCAUCUAAAAUAUCUAAAGCUGAGUAAAUGAAGACAGAUAAAAUACAUUGGCAUAAAAAUGAUUCACAGCAUUUCGAACUCAUUUUAAUAAGAUAAAAAAGAUUCGUUUCACCCAAAAUAAACAACGAGGCUUUUGAUUUCCUGAAAAGUUUGGCUUGUGCUAAAAUUAUUCUCAUACUUAGUUGUCAGGGAUACCUUGACCUGGGGCUAUCCCAACCGAGUCCACCAAGGCUGUUAAAAAGUCAUGUACGCAUAAAUCAUGUUUUUAUUUUGAAAAUAUAGUCGUUCCUUGGCGUUGGCUGAGUUCACCCUCACGUGGUGGUUUGGCGUGAAGUGAACUCUAAAGUUUUACUUGGGAGUUACCUUACGCGCCUCUCCGACCAAGGUACGUAUAUAAUCGGAUUAUGUGCCCUUCUAAUAGGCUGGUCCAUAGAACUCGCCCACUAUAGUAAGCUAAUCAAUAUCCCACCAAAUCAAUAAAAUUCCAACAGCAUGACGUGGCAAUUAUUUUACAACACAGCAUGUCAAGGCAAAACAACAGUUCACAUAUGUUUAGCAUAAUUACCAAUCGAGCAACUCAUGCCCACAUUAUCAUAAGCCAUUCUAUUCAAAUCAUAAUUUACAACACAACAAUUAGUCUCCAAUUACUCUAUUUUCAAAACCAUCAUUCAAGUUCAAGACAAUUUUAUAAAAUCAUUUCAUUUAAUCACAUUUUUGCUUUUAAAACAUAAAGAUUUACCAUUUAAACUCAUUUUGCAUAAAAUCAUGAAAACGAAUUAAAAUUCACUUCAGAUAAUCAAGAUGAUGAUAAGGUUACUCACUGUAAUGGGAAUCCAAUUCCAAGUACUCCGAUUCUUGAUCCACGGGUACUAUCUCUUUACUUUUGCCAGAAUGCUUACCACCUAGACAUAAUGCACAAUAAGCCAUUUACUACAUUUGUGCUAAAUUGUUAUAAAACCAAUUCAGGCUUUAUAUUAAUGCAUGAAAUGGAAUGCAAAUUGUUCGGAUUAUCAUCUAAACACGGUGUUCUACACAAAUUUAAUUGUGUACCUAAAUAAAACGGUAUUGGCCUAAUUCGAUCUAUCUCUCGAUUACUUGGCCAAUAUGUCCAAUUCAACUCCAAUUAACUCCAUUUUUCUUGCAAUUCUCCAAACCAUCAAACACAAGUCAAAUAGCAUAAAAUUUAGCAAAAUCAUCUUCACAAUUUCUCUUGGGAAUUUCGGCCAUGGUGGGUGCAUCAAUAUUAUGAUUUUUCCUACUUGAUUUUCUCACCAUAAUUCAUCAUUUCCUAACCAAUUCACUUGGAAUAAAAUCAAAAUCAUCAUCAAUAUUCCACAUGGAGAAUUCGGCCAAUGAGGGUUAUGGAAGAACGUGAAUUUUUCUUGCUUGAUUUUCAUGCUACACAUCACGAAUCAACUAAAAAUACUAAAAUAUCUUAAAAUCUAACCAAAACAACCAUCAAAAUCUCUCUCUAAGUGUUCGGCCAGCAAGAGACCCAUCAUGAAAUCAUGUGAUUCAACCAUGGAAAAUAAGAAAAAACUCUUAAGAAAGAGAGAUCUCAAGUUUAAUUGAAAAAAUCUUACCUUUUUUCACUUGUUUCCUUGAAUUCUCACACUUUUCCCUUAAAUUUUUCCACCUAGGGUUUUGUUCUUCCUUUUUCUUGCUUCUCCUUGGUGAGGCCAACCAUAAUGAAGAGAAAUGGGCUGGUUUUGUGCUAAUUUAUAAGGAAAAUAAUAAAGAAAGAAAAGCUUGACACUUGUCACCUGAUCAUUAGUCUAUUUUUAAAUUCUUAACUAUUAAGCUUUCUUUCUUCACCACAUCAAAUCCUUCAAUUAUCCAUGACAAUAAUGGGUGAAAUUCAUGUGCUGGACAAGUGUUGGGUGGUGUAAAAUUACAAUUUUGCCCCUAGGGUGGUAAAAUUACUAUUUUACCCUUAUCCUCAUAAAAAUGUUGAAAUUAAAAUUCUUCACUUCUCAAACUCAAAUUAUACUCCAAAUGAUCAAUCUUAGUCAAAAAUUUCAUCCAACACUCACAUCUUAACCUCGGGUAGCAAAAUGACCAUUUUGCCCCUAGGUCAUGAAAAUUCUAAUUUGACUCCAAAUCGGUCAUCGAACUCCGAAUCACCAUUUUAAGUCAUUCUGGGGUUUUAAAAUUCUCAAUUUCAUCUUAAAAUCUCUAUUUGGACUAGUUCAAGGCUUAAUUCAACUUAAUUGUGUCAUUUGGUACAAUACUGUCCUUAACGAUUUCCAAGGUACCCAAGUAAGCAAACAUGCAUUCUUAUGUACGAAUGGCAUAAUAAACAUAUUGUAGAGCUGGGCUUGAUAGCAUUACCCCCCUUAAAAUAAAAUUUUGACCUCAAAAUUUCAUUUACUGAACUCAGAGAAAAGGUGAGGGCAUUGUUUUCUUAUCUAAUGCUCGACUUCUUAUGUCCUCCCCUUUAUAGGGAAUUUCAAUUUGUUCACCUCAUUUACCUUUAAUUCAACUCGAGUACUUCACUUAUGUCUAUUAUUAUUCUUUAAAAUCAGAUCAACAGUAACCUUCACAAUUAUGAUCUCUUAUAUCAAGACACCAAACAUGCUUCUAUUACUAUCAUUAAACUUGAACCAUAACUCCAUCUCAAUCAUACCAAUUUUGAUCGCAUUUUAUACUUAUUUAUGUAUACCAAUCACUAUCUUAUUACUUUAUUCCAUAUCAAAUUUCUCGACUUUCAUUCAUUCAUCCUAUGCUCAUACACUAUUGUGUACUUUACGACAUCAUUAACAUGCCAUACUCAUUCUUGUACAUAUCCUCAGCGUUAGGGAAGGUUAAUGGCUUCAAUUAUUUCCACAUACUUUAUGUUUACCUUGCAUUUAGGAAAUUUUAAUCUUCUUAAUCCUAUUAAUCCAUCUCAUAUGGCUUAAUCGCACUAUAGAUUACAUUCCUUUAACUAUUUCCCCAAAACUCCUUAGGUCGCCAUAAAUCGACUUCUGAUAAGAUUCUUGAUCGUUACAUUAUCUAUACAACUUAUCAAAUAUAUUGAGUUCAAGUCUCGAACCACUAAAACCAUUAUUCAUUUUAGUUGGGUACAUCACUAACUCCACACAUACGUAUACACGCACAUUCAAAUGUCCAUAUUCCUCAUUAUGUAUACGGGUCUCUGUUUUCAAAUGCUUUCAGAAUAAUUUCUCUUUGUUCAUUCCCAUCCAUAACCAAGAUUCAAUAGAAUAAUCUUCAUAAUUCAUUCAAAUUCUCAUCAUGCCUGUGCAUAGUUCCGUAACUUAUACUCUCUCCUUAUCAUUUCUAAUUAUAUGCUUAAGUUUCCUUAUACUAUAUACCAUUGCAUCACAAUGUCAUCCCCAUUGAAUUAUAAUCUAUUAUGCGUGUAUGCUUUAUAAUCCCAUUGAUGCCUCAAAGAUUUAUCUUAACUUGAUCAUUGCAUCUUAUGCAAUACCAUAAUUCCUAAGAGUCAUCUUUUUUCCUUGAUUAUCCUUCAUGCCUCUACAUUACCUUGUAUCCUUCUUGCAUUCCGAUAUUGAUUUGUCACUUAAAACUCAGACUCAUUUGAAUCAUGUAUGCCUCAAGCAUUUUCAGAUUCCAAUUUCCAUAAUAUAUGAGGAAAGUUUCAUUAUCUGACUUCAUUAUCAAGGUCAACUUCUAUCAUCCUUUGUUCCACUAUUUCAUACGCAUAUAACAUCAUUCUUCCUUAACCAAUUUACAAAUUAUACUUGAAAUUACAAGACUUAAAACUAGAUUCUCCUCAAGUACUUUUCAAUGUCAAUACAAGUAUCACUCUUAACUUAUGGCUUCAUUUUUAUGAUCAUAUAACUUAAUGUUUGCUUUCACGAGAUCCAUUGCGGAACUUAUCUUGAGUAUUUCCUUAGGGAUAUCUAUCUUAAACUUAUGUCUCACAGCAGGUGAUCACUUAACUCGUGACUUAGCCAUUUGGCUCCUUAGCAAGUUUCAAAAUCACACAUCUUAUACUCAUCUCGUAUAAUUUAAAAUUCUUUCUCAAAGGUGUUUAAACAUUCUUGAAACUCUUAAUCACUUAUUUGCUCUUUCAUAUUCCAAGUAUAUCAUUUCCAUAAAGGCAUGCACUUGCUCACCAAAAUAUUUAAAUGCAUGCUUAACUACUCAUGCUUCAACUUAUCUCCAAGGGUUUCUAGCAUACCACGUAGUUUACUUUUGUUGUCACUAAUCCUUUCCUUUCAACAAAGUCAAGACAAGAUUUGUAAAUUCUCAUAACAAUAUUCUAUAUAAACUCAUUUGCUAUAUCAUUAUUGAAAUCUUUAUUCACAUUCUCAUCACUUGGUAUUGACAUCUCUUAUCAGUAUCUCAUACAUUUAUCUAACUUUUCACUCCCUUUCUCUUUAGUCUUUAACAAGGCUUAAUCUCUUUUCUUCUUUAUUUCUUAAGAUUCGACUUCAGUCAACAUAUUAUUCAUCUUAACACUCCACAUGUUAAUUUAUUUUUAUGUAGCCAUCUCAACAACUCUCUAACUUUUCUUUCUCUUACAUGCCAAUAUAUAAGGUAAUAAAAAAACUUUGUAAUUUCACUCAUCAUCUUUAUCUUAAGACCUCCCCAAUGAACUUAAGACACCAAACAACAAAGCUUAGCAUCAAAACCAAUGACCAUUCUUCAACUCGUGAGUUUCAUCUUCAUGUCACUCCCAAUUUGCUCGUGCUUUCUAGCCAUAAGGGUUCUUAACCAAUUACAUUUAUAAAGUGGAUAAUUCACUUAAUUAUUACAUCUUGUCCUUGCAGUUAUAAGAUCAAGAUAUCUCGAAUUUAGGAUGCAGAAGUUCCCUCCUAGAGCAUAUCCAAAAAUCCUCAUAUUUCAAGUCCCACCUUAGGACAUCUUUCCCAUAUGAUGUAAUAAAUUCACAAUAUAUACAUCAUCAUACACAUAAUUACUUAUUAUUUAUGGUAUCCCACUAUUUUCAUUAUCCAUUAUUAAUCAUCUUCCUUGUCUUAUAACUCUAAUAGUUUAUUAACUUCCAGUACAAAGACCACGAAAAUAGUUCGUCUUUCACUACAUUUAUACUCAAAAUCCUUAUUAAUCGAAAAUUUAUCUUUUUCAAGUUCCUUCAUUUAUCUCUAAUGGACCAUAUUUGCAUUAGAUUAUUUUCCUAUAAUGUUAUGGCAUCGAUUUAUACUUCCUCCACCCUCAAGCAUACAAUCUUUGACUUUAUCACAUUAAUCGCUCAAAAUGUCAUCUAGAGCCUCAUUGAUUUCUUCCAUAUCCUUUCGAAUCGUAACUACAAUUAAGAUUCCCAAUUUCACAUCUCCAUGAUUGAUUGUUAGGCUUACCACACUGUCUCCCAUUAUCCUGUGCAAUUACAACACACUGGACCCACUUAUUAUAACAUAAUCUCUUAGUUCAAUGUGUUUGCUCGGGAAUCAUCUUCUCUGAUACAAUUUGUCCCAUAAACCAAAAUUUUAUUUAGCUUUGCAUUCGGAAUCAUAUCAAAAACUCACAUACUACGAUAAGUAAUAAUUUUUAACAAACAUCAUCAAUUCAAAUGGUCCUUUAUACCUCAUCAAAAUCUAGGGUUAUCACUUCAAAAGUUCAUCACGUUAAUCGGUAUCCAUUUCUUAGUAUUGCAAAAUAUAUUCAUUGUUAAUUAGGGUAAUUGCUUGAAUCAUUAAUGACUUUCCACAUCAGUCUUCAAUAGUUAUCUAAGAUGAUCAACCAUUCCACUAAGAUAAAUAUCUUUCCUUAAUAGUCAUAGUGCUAAUCCACUUCUGUCCAAUCAAAAGAUUCCCAUAUACCUCCAGUCACUUAAAUAGCUACUUUAUAAUACAUUCUAGUUAUACACUUUAAAAGCCAAACUAUUAAUUUCUUUGUACCGAUAACUAUUAUCUCUUUUACACUACAUCUACCUAGAGUUAAAGUAGUACAAAAUCCCACGAAAAUAUUACAUGCCAUUAAGAUCAUCAUCUUAAUUUGAACAUAUUAGAAGAUUCUACUCUAGGUCCUCAUCCUCUUGAGAUUUUCUCCUUUGUUCCUCAAUCCAAGCUUGUUGUAUUCUCUUGCAUUCUUUGUCACUCACAAGUGCAGAACCUAUUCCACAUCUAGGAGGAAAAUGUCAUACAAUGUUCACCUUCCUACGGGGAUAAUUUGCAAUAGUUACUUUCUCCUUAUUCUUUUCUUGUUGUUCCUUUAAAUUUAUCCCACAGUGGAGGAAAGUGUCAAACAACGGGUACAGGUACCUUCCUAGGAUGAUAAUCUCCUUUGGCUAUCAUUAUUUUUCCCAUUUCUUUAGCGUAUUCCCUAGAUUCUUUCAAAAGAGAAUUUCUCAAGCUUACAUUAAUGUCAUUACUAUCAGCACUUUUUGGACUACUUGGUUCUAGUUGCCAUCGGCUCCUAGCAGUAGAAUCUAGCGAUCCCUCGCUAAUACUAUAAGAGGCAUUGGGACUACCGUCUCUCCUAGACAUGGUGUGAGCAACCAGCGCACCUCAAAACUUAUACGCAAUCAAGCAGUAAUUUCUUAAUUAUUUACACAUCACCAGAGCAGGUAGGUUUCUAUAUAUAGGUGCAUGCAUUCUAUUCAACCUAACCUAAUUUGACUUGGGGCCACACUAACACUGUAAAUUUUUAAAAUAACUUUAAACCCAAAAGUUCUAACCUUUAAAACCAAAAGCUCUGAUACCAAUGUAAUUGUCAUGACUCGGUACUCUCCAUGAGCCUGUGACAACAGCUGCGAUGUUUCGAUAGACAUUCAUUACCCAGAAUGCCAACCGAAACCCCGCAAGGCUUUAAUAUCAGUUUUUUCGCUUCCCCUGUGAGUAUUAGUUACUAAAAUCAUGUUUUAAAGUGAUAUGAACCAAUUUCAAUUCAAAAAUAGUCAAAGAGAAGUUUCAACUACACAAGGGUAUUUUGGUCAUUUUUCCCAAAAAUUCCAAACCAACUAAAAAUAUAGUAUGCAAGUGGAAAACACAUAUUUCAUAAUCAAAAAUAAGUUUAGAUAUCUAAAACAUUCAUUUAAAGUGAAAUUAUAACUAUUUGAAUAUAAUAAAAUAAUUUAAUAAAAUAUUAUAUUUUCUUAUAAAACAAUAUUUAUAGAGUUACCGAUAAAUAAUUUUUUGUAACAUAAAAGCUAAAUAAAUUCAUACAUAUUGUAAUACAGAUAACCAAAGCAUAAGAUUUAAUUUACAGUGACACGUGGACCCACAAACGACCAAAAGUAUCAAAAGCGGUAAACCUACAGGUUUUUAGGAUGCAAGUCCAACUGUAGCCCUCAACGAAAUGAGCUAUUUACUGACUAUCCUGAGCCUAAAAUGGGUGGAAAGGAGGGUGGUGAGAUUAUAUAAUCCCAGUGAGUAAACAAAUACCAUCUAAAACAUCUAAAGUUGAGUAAAUGGAGACAGAUAAAAUAGAUUGGCAUAAAAAUGAUUCACAGCAUUUCGAACUCAUUUUAAUAAGAUAAAAUAGAUUCAUUUCACCCAAAAUAAACAACGUGGCUUAUGAUUUCCUGAAAAGUUUGGCUCGUGCCAAAAUCAUUCUCAUACUCAGUUGUUAGGGAUACCUUGGCCUGGGGCUAUCCCAACCGAGUCCGCCAAGGCUGUUAAAAAGUCAUGUACUUAUAAAUCAUAUUUUUAUUUUGAAAACAUAGCCGUUCCUUGGCGUUGGCUGAGUUUACCUUCACGUGGUGGUUUGGCAUGAAGUGAACUCUAAAGUUUUACCUCAGGAGUUACCCUACGCGCCUCUCCAACUGAGGUACGCAUAUAAUCGGAUUCCGUGCCCCUCUAAUAAGCUAGUCCACAAAACCCGCCCACUGCAGUAAGCUAAUCAAUAUCCCACCAAAUCAAUAAAAUUCCAAUAGCAUGACGUGGCAAUUAGUUUACAACACAGCAUGUCAAGGCAAAACAACAGUUCACUUAUGUUUAGCAUAAUUACCAAUCUAGCCACUCAUGCACACAUUAUCAUAAGCCAUUCUAUUCAAAUAAUAAUUUACAGCACAACAAUUAGUCUCCAAUUACUCUAUUUUUAAAACCAUCAUUCAAUUUCAACACAAUUUUAUAAAAUCAUUUCAUUUAAUCACAUUUUUGCUUAUAAAACAUAAAGAUUUACCAUUUAAACUCAUUUUCCAUAAAAUCACGAAAACGAAUUAAAAUUCACUUCAAAUAAUCAAGAUGAUGAUAAGGUUACUCACUGUAAUGGGAAUCGAAUUCCGAGUACUCCGAUUUUUGAUCCUCGGGUACUAUCUCUUUACUUUUGCCAGAAUGCUCACCACCUAGACAUAAUACACAAUAAGCCAAUUACUACAUUUGUGCUAAAUUGUUAUAAAACCAAUUUAGGCUUUAUACUAAUGCAUGAAAUGGAAUGCAAAUUGUUCAAAUUAUCGUCUAAACACGGUGUUCUACACAAAUUCAAUUGUGUACCUAAAUAAAACGGUAUUAGCCUAAUUCGAUCUAUCACUCGAUUAAUUGGCCAAUAUGUCCAAUUCAACUCCAAUUAACUCCAUUUUUCUUCCAAUUCUCCAAACCAUCAAACACAAGUCAAAUAGCAUAAAAUUUAGCAAAAUCAUCUUCACAUUUUCUCUUCGUAAUUUCGGCCAUGGUGGGUGCAUCAAUAUUAUGAUUUUUCCUACUUGAUUUUCUCAUCGUUAUUCAUCAUUUCCUAACCAAUUCACUUGAAAUAAAAUCAAAAUCAUCAUCAAUAUUCCACAUGGAGAAUUCGGCCAAUGAGGGUUAUGGAAGAACAUGAAUUUUUCUUGCUUGAUUUUCAUGCUACACAUCACCAAUCAACUAAAAAUACUAUAAUAUCUUAAAAUCUAACCACAACAACCAUCAAAAUCUCUCUCUAAGUGUUCGGCCAGCAAGAGACCCAUCAUGAAAUCAUGUGAUUCAACCAUGAAAAAUAAGAAAAAAUGCUUAAGAAAGAGAGAUCUCAAGCUUAAUUGAAAAAAAUCUUACAUUUUUUCACUUGUUUCCUUGAAUUUUCACACUUUUCCCUUGAAUUUUUCCACAUAGGGUUUUGUUCUUCCUUUUUCUUGCUUCUCCUUGGUGAGGCCGACCAUAAUGAAGAGAAAUGGGCUGGUUUUGUGCCAAUUUAUAAGGAAAAUAAUAAAGAAAUAAAAGCUUGACACUUGUCACCUUACCAUUGGUCCAUUUUUAAAUUCUUAACUAUUAAGCUUUCUUUCUCCACCACAUAAAAUCCUUCAAUUAUCCAUGACAAUAAUGGGUGAAAUUCAUAUGCUAGACAAGUGUUGGGUGGUGUAAAUUACAAUUUUGCCCCUGGGGUGGCAAAAUGACUAUUUUGCCCUUAUCCUCGAAAAAAUGCCAAAAUUAAAAUUCUUCACUUAUUAAACUCAAAUUAUACUCCAAAUGAUCAAUCUUAGUCAAAAUUUUCAUCCAACACUCACAUCUUAACCUCGGGUAGCAAAAUGACCAUUUUACCCCUAGGUCAUGAAAAUUUCAAUUUGACUCCAAAUCGUUCAUGGAACUUUGAAUCACCAUUUUUAGUCAUUCUAGGGUUUUAAAAUUCUUAAUUUCAUCUUAAAAUCUCUAUUUGGACUAGUUCGAGGCUUAAUUCAACUUAAUUGUACCAUUUAGUACAAUACCGUCUUUAACGAUUUCCAAGUUACCCAACUAAGCAAACAUGCAUUCUUAUGUAGGAAUGGCAUAAUAAACAUAUUGUAGAGCUGGGCUUGACAGAACCUUUGCUGUCCAAAUCUAGAGAGAGAAGUUUUGGUGAUGAAUUUUGCUAGAUUUCAUAAUAUCCUAGUGUUUAGUCAUUUUGUGAUGUUUGGAAGGAAAAACAAGCAAGAAAAUCACAUGUUCUUCAACCACCCUCAUUUGGCCAAAUUUUCUAUAGGGCAUGUUGAUGAUGGAUUUAGUUGUAAAUCAUGUUAUUUAGCUAGGAAUUGAUGAAUUGUGAUGUUGGAUAUCAAAACUGGUUAUUGAAAAGUAUAGUUCCUUUAAAAAAUAGGUUGAUGGAAACUGAGAAAAUUAUAGUAAAUGGACUUGGAUUUGAUUCCUAAUGAUAUAUAUAUGGAUUUACAAGACUGUGUAGACAUUGAUUAGUAUGUUAGUUUGGAAUCGAAAUGAAUUUCGAAAAAUGGUGAAGUUAGUCAAAAAUCAAGUUCAUUGUAAUGCUUUGGUGUAUUAGAUUAUUGGAAGUGUAAUGAAUAUAUUUGGAGUUGAAUCGGAUGUUUUGGUUAAAUUAAUGGUGUAUAGUUCGAAUUAGGUCGAAUACAAAUUCAUUUCAAUCACAAUUGAACCUACGCAGAACACUGUUUGUAAGUGACUAUCCGAACAUUUCUCAUUCAACUUCAUGCAUUCAUAUAGAGUCUGAAAAUAGUUUUAUACCAAUUUGACACCAAGGUAUUGAAUUACGUAUCGUGUAUUAUGGACAGGUGCUAAAACCCUCGAUAAGGGCAAAGAUAUCAUGUUGGAGGACCGAGAAUAGGAGUACUCCUACCACUCCAAAUUCCCAUUAUAGUGAGUAAUCAGAUGUUCAUCUUAAUUAUCUAAAGUGGUUUAUACUUGUUUUAAGAUUUUAAAGAAUAAGGCACUUAAUUUGCAAAUUAUUAUGUUUUACAUUUUAAAUGUUGGUUAAAUGAAUGAGAUUUAUAAAUUAUUCUGAAACUAAAUGUUGAUUUUCGAAAUAGAGUAAGUGGAGGCUAUACAUUCGUAUUAUAUAUAUAUAUAUACAUGAUUUGAAUUGAUGGCUUAUGAAAUUGUGGUAGCAUGAAUGGCUGAAAUUGUGAUUUUGUGAAUUAUAUAAAUUGUUUUGUCUUACAUUGACAGUUGGAUAGUACUACAUUAGCCUUGUUAUGCUGUCAAAAUUUUAUUGAUUUGGUGGGUUAUGUAUUUAGCUUACUAUAGUGGGUGGGUUUCCGUGGACCAGCCUAUUAGAGGGGCACGAUAAACCCCGUUAUAUAUUACCUUAGUAUGAGAGGCGCGGAGGGUAUCUCCUAAGGUAAGUUUAGAGUUCACUUCACGCUGAACCACCACGUGAGGAUGAAACUCAGCCAACGCCAAUGAAUGGCUAUAUUUUAAAAGUAGGAACAUGUUUUAUGGGUAUAUGUCAUUUUAACAUUCUUGGCGGACUCGGUUGGAUGCCCGGGCCAAGGUGUCACCGAGUAUGAGUUUUGGCACAAGCCAAGUUUUUAAGAGAAUCAUAAGCCUUGUUGAUUAUUUUGUUGAAAUGUAAUUGUUUUAUAGGAUUUGAAAUGAGUUUUGAAUGUUAUGAACUAUAUUAUGAUGGGAUGCUUUAACUAUCUCCAUUUACUCGGCUUUAGAUGUUAUAGAUGAAUUUUGCUUACUCACUGGGUUUGUAAAAACUUACCCCUUCUUUUUAUCCUUUUUAGGCUUAGCACAGUCUGUAGAUAAUCGAUUUUGUCGAUGAUUGCUUUUAGAUUUGCAUCCUUAAAAAUCAAAGGUUUACAGUCUUUUAUAUUUUCGGUUAUAUUGUGCCCACAUGUCAUUGUAGAGUAUUUUCGUAUACCUAGUUUAGUGUGCUAUUAUAUAUAUGAAUUUAUUUUACUUUUACAGUACAAAAAUUAUUUACGCAGAGUUCUAUAAAUAUUGUUUUAUAAAAAAAUAAAAUAUUUUAUUUAAUUUGAAUAGCUAUAAUUUCACUUUAAAUUGAGGAAUUAGACAACGAAACUUAUUUUUAGACAUGAAAUAGAUGCUUAUUACUCGUAUAUCAUAUUUUUACCAGGGUUCAAAAAUUUUGGGUAAAAUGAGCAAAAUACCCCUGUGUAAUAGAAAUUACUUUUUGAUUGUUUUUGAUUUGAAAUUAGUAUAUAUUUUUGUUUAAAACAUGGUAUUUAAUAACUGUUGCUCAUAGGGGAGAAGUAAAAUUGAUGCGAAAGCCUUGCGAGGUUUCGGUUGGCAUUUCGAGUAAUGAAUGUCAAUCGAGACAUCGCGACAGUUGUCACGGGCUCUAUGGGAAUUUCGGGUCGUGACGCAUAUUGUACAUAUGAGUUAAACCCCGAUGAUGGGAUUUUUGAGGGAGUUUGCGAAGGUGAAUUUCUUUGGUAAAUUUCCUAGGUGAAAGGAUACUUGCGAGUCCUACCAGUACGAUGGGAGGACUCGGAGAAUGUCUUUAAUAAAGGCUUCUGCUCAUAACAAGUUUGCCUACACGAAAGAUAUUAUUUUCAAACGCAAAUAAUUAUCCCGAUGAUGGGAUUUACUUGUUAAACUUGCGAAGGCGAGUUUCCUAGGUAUUUCCCUAGGUGAGAGAAUACCUCCGGAUCCCACCAGUAUGAUGGGCGGAUUCAAGAAGUACACUCAAUAAGUGGUUUUUCAUUUGACAUUAUCAAGAUUUUAUGCCAUGCAUUUCACGAUUACAUCAUAUGCACGUCUCACCCGUAAAACCAAAUAGAAUGUUUUAAUUUGUAAAUAAAAUAAAAGAAAAAAUAAAUCAGGAUUAGGGAAAUAUAAGAAUAAAAUUAAAAAGUUAAGGUUAAUAGGAUAAUAUUAUGAGACCCCAACCUCUAUAGGCUUGUAACUAAGCAUAGAUGUAAUAACACGAGCUAAGGUAGUUUCGUCAUUUCUUCUAAUAGCUCCUAGAAGAAAGUUUUAUAGUAUUUUAAGGUCUAAAUAGGUAUAAGACUGCAUAAAUGAUGUGUAAUGAUAAAAACCCGAAGAAAACUAGAAGUGACAAUAAUUUUCAUAACAAGGGCAAAAUGGUCAUUUUUAACCUCGAGUAAAAAAUUUUAAGUUUUUGUGAAUCUGAGUAUAUUUAGAUCAUUAUGGACUUGGCCUUAGUGUUAAAAGAGUAAAAAGAUUGCAUAAAAGAUUGGAGGAGAAUAAGCUAAUUUGUGGAGGAGCAUUUUGGUAAUUUAAAUGGAGUGGAUAAGCUUGGGCUAUAAAUAUCCCUUUCUUCUGGCAGCUUCUACAUUCUCCAACAGCUUUUCUACUUCUUCUUCUUCUCUUUCACGUUGCUUCCCAACCUCCAUGAAAGCUUGAUAAGAAAGCUCUACAACCUUCCUCAAAUAGCUCCAAAUUUCAUGCUUUUGGUGCACCCUUUCCAUAAACCCUUGUGCUCUUCCAUUCUCUCACUUUAAAACCCUUGAAAAAUCUUGUUUGCAUACUCUCUCUCACUAGUUAGGUGUUUUAGAGAAAGAAAGAGGAAGCUUUACAACAGUUUGGAGAAUUGUUGGAAAGAAUUUCAAAGUUUUAAAGCUAUUAAGGUGAGUAGUAAAUUUGAGUUGAAAUUUUAGUGUUUAGAAUGACUAGAGAAUUGAUUUGUGAAUAUUUUGUAGUUAAGAUUGUUAAUUCACUUUGGAAAGAUAGGAUAGUGAAAAUGGAUAGCCAUUUACUGUCCAUUUGAAGUAAGCUAAGAGAAAGCUUUUGGGACUCUAUAAGUAUGUGAAUUAACAUAAUUAUGAUGUUAAUGUGAUGGUAGGUUCCAACGAAGUUCCAUCAUUCCAAUUGGACCAUUAGAGAAGUUAGAGUCGGUUAAAGGCUCAAUAAACACCGGUGAGUGGACUUGUAUUUCAAAAAUUGUUUUGGGAAUGUAAACUUAUUUGCACUAUAUACUUGAAUGAUUUUAUUCAACUUAUUUAAAAACGAGUGCUUUCGGAACAAGCCUUUGAUAAAUUGAUUUUAUGUUGUGACAUGUGGCUACUAUGGAUGGUUGAACUAUUACACUACGUUGAUAUAUAUAUACGAAUAAUGUUGUGUAUUGAUAUUGACCCGACUAUGUGCGAGUAGGAGUGCACAUAAGCUGUUGCUGACUUGGCUAUGUGCGAGUGGGAGUGCACAUAAGCCGUUACUAACCCAGCUAUGUGCGAGUGGGAGUGCACAUAAGCCGUUGCAUAUGAGAUGAUGAUGAUGAUGAUGGGAGGGUGUACAUGAUGAUUGAUAUAUAUAUAUAUAUAUAUUUAUAUACAUAUAUGGUAUAUGGUUGAAAUGCAAAAAUGUGAGCAUUUGAAUUGUUGAAAUUUAGGAGUUUGUAUGUGUUACAUGUUGCUUUUGCUAAUUUAGCAAGAUGGCUUUGAUUUAAGGGAAAAUGAAACUUUUUUUUCUUGAUGUUCUAAUUCUCGCUGCAGCGAGAAACUCUCAGGUUUUGAAGGGGUAGGCUGGUCGAAAACUCACUGCAACGAGAAAAGUACUGUAGCUUCUCGCUGGAGCGAGAUUUAAUCUCGCUGCAGCGAAAAACUUCAUGUUUUUCUCCUCCUUUGGUUCGGUUGCUACCCUAUUUUCUAUUUCUUUGGUACCAUAGUUGAGCAUGAAUUUCCAACAUUAAGGAAUAAAUGAAUUAAGUUUAAAAUGAGGAGGUUUGGUGAGAAACCCUCAGCCAAUUAAGAAACCCUCGGCUAGAUGAUAAUUUAAGUCAAAUGUCGAUGUAGCAAAAAUUCAUUGCCUUUUCACUGCAGCGAGGACCCGUCGUUUAUUUGACUUGAUUUUCAUGAAUGCUAUUAAAAUUUUCACUCUCCAAAUCCUUUGUUGAGCAUGGACUCUUUUCAAUUAAGUGAUUUUUCUCAUGUAGGGUUUACAUGAGGGGUUUAAUAAGAACUCAAAUAAAUUGCAUUGUUUUGAAAAAUGAAUGCAUUAUGAUUUCGUUAAACAUUCCUUAUGGUAUGCUUGUUCCCUUCUUAUUCACUCACUGGGUUUAUACUCAUUGUUUUCAACUUCAUGUUUUCAGAUCACGAGGCAGCUGGUAACUAGGUCGAAGUGUCUUUGUAUAUUCGACCUUUAGUAGGUGUCUCAGCAUUCAGUAGUUAUACAUUUGUCCGAGUCUCUCCGCUGGGAGUCGAGUAUUCUUUUGUUGUGUAUAGACAAACCUAAUGUAAUUUAUUGAGAUACAUGUUGUAGACAAUGUAUAUACACUUGUUAAGCAUGCCAGUAUGAGGUGGCAAUGUUUAAUAUUAUUUUGAUCUUAAGUUAUGAAAUGUGACUUACCAGUUUAUGAUGGAAUGAUGACCACAUCAGAUUAAUAGGCUUGCUUGGGCUUAGUGGACUACGUCCAUUGGGCCCAUGCGUCGGUCAUGGCUCGAAAUUUGGAUCGUGACAAACAUAUGGUUAAGUGGUACCAUUAGUGGAAUGGGCAUCAUAGGGCUGCUAAUCAAUCCCCGUGCAUAACCAUACUACCAAACCCAACUUUAAAAAUUAGCAAACUAGUUUAUUGUUCUUUAGACACACCCAAAAUCAAUUUAGGACUCCGUCAAAUAGAACAAAUUUAAUAAGUGGCCAAUCACACCUAGAUAAAAAAAGAUUGGUGGUGACUUCUUAAAUUUUUUACGUCUAGCGUUUAGGUUCUCGGAUCCAGCACGUCACAACAAUAGGAUGAGAUUUCCUUACUUGAGUACUAAAACUCUUUCUUUGAAAUAUUAUGUAUUUUUAGAGAAAGCUUAUGUAAAUGUGAAUUUUUAAACCAUAUUUGAAGUUCUAGAAUUUGUUUGCUUUUUCCUUGAGGUGAAAUCCUAGGCUAUACUUAGUUAGAAAGAUGACUUAGGCCACCUUUGGACCGAUUAAGCCUUUCAAGCUAACCUAGUUACAUUGUUAUCCCUAGUAUACCCAUUUUCAACUUAAAUUGUUCUUUUCUUUGAUUAAACACAUGAAUAAAUUAGCUUAACCUUUGAGAAAUUUUCUAAUUUUGCAACUCUCACUUCUAAGCAUAUAUAUUGUUUUAGGAAAUAUAUAUCGAGCUAGUUGAUGAAAAAGUAGAAAAGAUGAAGUGUAGAGAAAAAUGAAAAAAAAUUCUUUUUUUGAAGCAUUCAUCCCAUUACCAAUGAAAGAAACAAGUUUGGGUGUGUUGAAUUGAGAAUAAAAACAAAUGUUUGAUGAAUGAAAAGGUUAAGAAAAAAAAGGUGUACUAGAUAAAGACAAAUAACGCUAUCUAAGUCCUAGAACAAUUAUGUGCUUAGGGUGAUUUAAGCUACAUAUUAUUUCAUAUCCUACCUUAACACUAGUUGUAUGAGUGCUAGCCUACAUUAGUGGAGGGGGAGAUGAAAAUCAGACAUAUGAAACUCUAAACUAGUUUGAAGUUUGCAUGACCAUAAACCUAUUUGGAGUGCAUAAUAUUCAUUGUAAGAGAUUUUACACACACACAAGAGUCUAUUCAAAAAUGAACUUACAUUUGAAUGUAAUUUGGAUUUUAAUAAUAUCUAUUUUUUGCUUUGAGUCGGGAAAAUGAGAUAAUUUAUGAAGAAAUUAAAGGUUGUCAAUGACUUGGUGUAUCCUAUUCUUAGUUUUAAGUUUUCAACUAUGUUAUUUUGUUUUCUUAGGUUUUGCUUAAGGACUAGAAAAAUGUUAAGUUUUGAGAUGUGAGAACUCUAUUAUAUAGAGUUGUUUUGCUACAUUUUGAUUGUUAAAAAUAGUUAAGUCCUUGUGAUUUCUAGUAGAUUUUAUGAAGGUUUUAUGUUUUUUUCUAUUAAGUUUAAUACAUGUUGGAACACUUUAAUUUGAGUAAGUUUAGCUCAAUUAUAAGUUAAAAGUGCUAAAUUUAAAUACUACUAAUUGAGUCUUUAUUUUGAAGAUGUGCAAGUGUCAAGCCUAGCUUUACAAUAUGUUUAUUAUGCCAUUCUUACAUAAGAAUGCAUGUUUGCUUUACUUACAUACCAAAAUGCCCUUGUGAGAAAAAAAUUAUUUUUCUAUUGUUUUGAUUUAGAAAUAGUUUAUAAUCUCUCAAAACAUGAUACCUAACAACUGUUGCUUACAGGGGAGGUGCGAAAACUGAAUUUAAGCCUUGCGAGGUUUUGAUUGGCAUUCCGGGUAAUGAAUGUCUAUCGAGACAUCGCGGUGGUUGUCACGGGCUCGAUAGGAGUAUCGGGUCGUGACAAUUACAUUAGUAUCAGAGCUUUUGGUUUAAAGAUUAGAGCUUUUGGUUUUAAAGAUCAGAGCUUUUGGGUUUAAAGUUGUUUUAAAGUUAUUUUAAAAAUUUACAGUGUCAGUGUGGGCCCUAGUUAAGUUAAGUUAGGUUGAAUAGAAUGCAUGCACCUACAUAUAGAAACCUACCUGCUCUUGUGAUGCGUAAAUAAUUAAGAAAUUACUGCUUGAUUGCGUAUAGGUUUUAAGCUGCGCUGGUUGCACACACUAUGUCUAGGAGAGACGGUAGUCCCGAUGCCUCUCAUAGUAUUAGCGAAGGAUCACUAGAUUCCAUUGCUAGGAGCCGUUGGCAACCCGAACCAAGUUGUCUAGAAAGUGCCUCGCCUAGGAUUCCUAUUAAUUGGAUUCCACUAGAUUUGGAGAUGAGGGUUCACGAAAAAGAAAGCUUCGACCCUUGUAAGACCAUUGAAAGUGCUUAUAGUAAUGACAUUAAUAUAAGCAUGAGAAAUUCCCUUUUGAAAGAGUCUAAGGAAUACGCUGACGAAAGGGGAAAAAUAAUGAUAGCCAAAGGGGAUUAUCUUCCUAGGAAGGUAUCUGUAUCCGUUGUUCGACACUUUCUUCUAGGCUGUGGGAUAAAUGUAAAGGAAAAACAGGAAAAGAAUAAGGAGAAAGUAACUGUUGCAAAUUAUCCCCAUAGGAAGGUGAACGUUGUACGACAUUUUCCUCCUGGAUGUGGAAUAGGUGCUGCACUUGUGAGUGACGAAGAAUGCAAGAGAAUACAGCAAGCUUGGAUUGAGGAACAAAGGAGAAAAUCUUAAGAGAAGAAGGACCUGGAGUAGAAUCUUCCAAUGUGUUUAGACUAAGAUAAUGAUCUUAAUGGUACUUAAUAUUUUUGUAGGAUUUUGUACUACUUUAACUCUAGGUAGAUGUAGUGUAAAAGAGAUAAUAGUUAUUUGUACAAAGAAGUUAAUAGUUUGGCUUUUAAAGUGUAUGACUAGAAUGUAUUAUAAAGUAGCUGUUUAAGUGACUGAAGGUAUAUAGGAAUCUUUUGGUAGGACAGAAGUGGAUUAGCACUAUGACUAUUAAGGAAAGAUAUUUAUCUUAGUGGCAUGGUUGAUCAUCUUAAAUAAUUAUUGAAGACUGAUGUGGAAAGUCAUUAAUGAUUCAAGCAAUUACCCUAAUUAACAAUGAAUAUAUUUUGCAGUACUAAGAAAUGGAUACCGAUUAACAUGAUGAACUUUUGGAGUGAUAACCCUAGAUUUUGAUGAGGUAUAAAAUGCCAUUUGAACUGAUGAUAUUUGUUGUAAAUUAUUACUUAUCGAAGUAUGUGAGUUUUGAUAUGAUUCCGAAUGCAAAGCUAAAUGAAUAAAAUUCUGGUGUAUGGGAUAAAUUGUAUCAGAGAAGAUGAUUCCCGAGAAAACACAUUGAACUAGGAGAUUAUGUUAUAAUAAGUGGGUUCAAUGUGUUGUAAUUGCACAGGAUAAUGGGAGACAGUGUGGUAAGACUAACAAUCAAUCAUGGAGAUGUGAAAUUGGGAAUCUUAAUUGUGGUUACAGUUCGAAAGGAUAUGGGAGAAAUCAAUAAGGCUCUAGAUGACAUUUUCAGUGAUUAAUGUGAUAAAGUCAAAGAUUGUAAACUUGAGGGUGAAGGAAGUAUAAAUGAUGCCAUAACAUUAUAGGAAGAUAAUCUAAUACAAAUAUGGUUCAUUAGAGAUAAAUGAAGGAACUUGAAAAAGAUAAAUUUUUUAUUAAUAAGGAUUGUGAGUAUAAAUGUAGUGAAAGACGAACUGUUUUUGUGGUCUUUGUAUUGGAAGUUAAUAAACUAUUGGAGUUAUAAGACAAGAAAGAUGAUUAGUAAUGGAUAAUGAAAAUAGUGGGAUACCAUAAAUAAUAAGUAAUUAUGUGUAUGAUGAUGUAUAUAUUGUGAAUUCAUUACACCAUAUGGAAAGAUGUCCUAAGGUGGGACUUGAAAUAUGUGGAUUUUUGGAUAUGUUCUAGGAGGGAACUUCUACAUCCUAAAUUCGAGAUAUCUUGAUCUUAAAACUGCAAGGAGAUAUGUAAUAAUAAAGUGAAUUAUCCACUUUAUAAAUGUAAUUGGUUAAGAACCCUUUAUGGCUAGAAAGCACGAGCAAAUUGGGAGUGGCAUGAAGAUGAAACUCACGAGUUGAAGAAUGGUCAUUGGUUUUGAUGCUAAGCUUUGUUGUUUGGAGUCUUAAGUGCAUUGGGGAGGUAUUAAGAUAAAGAUGAUGAGUGAAAUUGCAAAGUUUCUUUAUUGCCUUAUAUAUUGGCAUGUAAGAGAAAGAAAAGUUAGAGAGUUUUUAAGAUGGCUACAUAAAAAUAAAUUAACAUGUGGAGUGUUAAGAUGAAUAAUAUGUUGACUGAGGUCAAAUCUUAAGAAAUAAAGAAGACAAGAGAUUAAGCCUUGUUAAAAACUAAAGAGAAAGCGAGUGAAAAGUUAGAUAAAUGUAUGAGAUAUUGAUAAGAGGUGUCAAUACCAAGUGAUGAGAGUGUGAAUGAAGAUUUCAAGAAUGAUAUAGCAAAUGAGUUUAUAUAGAAUAUUGUUACAAGAAUUUACAAAUCUUGUCUUGACUUUGUUGAAAGGAAAAGAUUAGUGACAACACAAGUAAACUACGUGGUAUGCUAGAAACCCUUGGAGAUAAGUUAAAGCAUGAGUAGUUAAGCAUGCAUUUAAAUAUUUUGGUGAGCAAGUGCAUGCCUUUAUGGAAAUGAUAUGCUCGGAGUAUGAAAGAGCAAAUAAGUGAUUAAGUGUUUCAAGAAUGUUUAAACACCUUUGAGAAAGAAUUAUAAAUUAUACGAGAUGAGUAUAAGAUGUGUGAUUUUGAAACUUGCGAAGGAGCCAAACGGCUAAGUCACGAGUUAAGUGAUCACUUGCUAUGAGACAUAAGUUUAAGAUAGAUAUCCCUAAGGAAAUACUCAAGAGAAGUUCUGCCAUGGAUCUUGUGAAAGCAAGCACUAAGUUAUGUGAUCAUAAAAAGGAAGCCAUAAGUUGAGAGUGAUACUUGUAUUGACAUUGAAAAGUACUUGAGGAGGACAUAGUUUCAAGUUUUACAAUUUCAAGUACAAUUUGUAAAUUGGUUAAGGAAUAAUGAUGUUAUGUUCAUAUGAAAGAGUGGAACAAAAGAUGAUUGAAGUUAACCUUGAUAAUGAAGUCAGAUAAUGAAACUUUCCUAAUAUAUUAUGGAAAUUGGAAUUCGAAAUGCUUGAGGCAUACAUGAUUCAAAUGAGUCUGAGUUUUAAGUGACAAAUCAAUAUCAGAAUGUAAGAAGGAUACAAGGUAAUGUAGAGGCAUGAAGGAUAAUCGAGGAAAGAGGAUGACUCUUAUGAAUUGUGGUAUUGCAUAAGAUGCAAUGAUCAAGUUAAAAUAAAUCUUUGAGGCAUCAAUGGGAUUAUAAAGCAUACACGCAUAAUAAAUUAUAAUUCAAUGGAGAUUACAUUGUGAUGCAAUGAUAUAUAGUAUAAGGAAACUUAAGCAUAUAAUUGGAAAUGAUAAGAAGAGAGUAUAAGUAUGUAAAUGAUGUGGAACUAUGCACAGGCAUGAUGAGAAUUUGUAUGAAUUAUGAAAAUUAAUCUAUUAAAUCUUGGUUAUGGAUGGGAAUGAACAAAGAGAAAUUAGUCUGAAGGCAUUUGAAAACAAAGACCCGUAUACAUAAUGAGGAAUAUGGACAUUUGAAUGUGCGUGUAUACGUAUGUAUGGAGUUAGUGAUGUACCCAACUAAAAUGAAGAAUGGUUUUAGUGGUUCGAGAUUUGAACUCAAUAUAUUUGAUGAGCUGUAUAGAUAAUGUAACGAUCAAGAAUCUUAUCAGAGGUCGAUUUAUGGCGACCUAAGGAAUUUUGGGGAAAUAGUUAAGGGAAUGUAAUCUAUAGUGCAAUUAAGCCAUAUGAGAUGGAUUAAUAGGAUUAAGAAGAUUGAAAUUUCCUAAAUGCAAGGUAAACAUGAAGUAUGUGGGAAUAAUUGAAGCCAUUAACCUUCCUUAACGCUGAGGAUAUGUACAAGAAUGAGUAUGGCAUGUUAAUGAUGUCGUAAACUACACAAUAGUGUAUGAGGAUAGGAUGAAUGAAUGAAGUAAUAAGAUAAUGAUUGGUAUACCUAAAUAAGUAUAAAAUGUGAUCGAAAUUGGUAUGAUUGAGAUGGAGUUAUGGUUCAAGUUUAAUGAUAGUAAUAGAAGCAUGCUUGGUGUCUCGAUAUAAGAGAUCAUAAUUGUGAAGGUUACUGUUGAUCUAAUUUUAAAGGAUAAUAAUAGACAUAUGUGAAGUACUCAAGUUGAAUUGGAGGUAAAUGAGGUGAACAAAUCGAAAUUCCCCAUAAAAGGGAGGACAUAAGAUGUCGAGCAUUAGAUGAGAAAACAAUACCCCCACAUUUUCUCUAAGUUCAGUAAAUGAAAUUUUGAGAUCAAAAUUUUAUUUUAAGGGGGGUAAUGCUAUCAAGCCCAGCUCGACAAUAUAUUUAUUAUGCCAUUCUUACAUAAGAAUGCAUGUUUGCUUACUUGGGUACCUUGAAAAUCGUUAAAGGACAGUACUGUACCAAAUGGUACAAUUAAGUUGAAUUAAGCCUUGAGCUAGUCCAAAUAGAGAUUUUAAGAUGAAAUUGAGAAUUUUAAAACCCCAGAAUGACGUAAAAUGGUGAUUCGGAGUUCGAGGACCGAUUUGGAGUCAAAUUGGAAUUUUCAUGACCUAAGGGUAAAAUGGUCAUUUUGCUACCCAAGGUUAAGAUGUGAGUGUUGGAUGAAAUUUUUGACUAAGAUUGAUCAUUUGGAGUAUAAUUGGAGUUUGAGAAGUGAAGAAUUUUAAUUUCGAUAUUUUUUUCGAGGAUAAGGGCGAAAUAGUCAUUUUGCCACCCCAAGGGCAAAAUCGAAAUUUUACACCACCCAACACUUGUCCAGCACAUGGAUUUUACCCAAUAUUAUCAUGGAUAGUUGAGGAAAUUUAGUGGUGGAGAGAAAUUGCUUAGUGGGUAAGUAUGACACAUGGACCAAUGGAAUGGUAACACAUGGCAAAUUUUUGUCCAUUUAAUAUUUUCCUUUAUAAAGCCAAUUUAAACUCUUCCACAUUUAUUGUUAUGGCCGGCCAAAGCAUGAACAAAGGAAGAAAAGAAAGAACAAAAACCCUAGAGUGAAAAUUCAAGAGAAAAUUGGUGGAUUUCAAGUAAUCAAGCAAUCAAAGGUAAAAUUUCUUGAUUUUGACUUGUGAUCUACCUUUCCCAUACAUUCUUUUGCAUUUUCCAUGGUUGAAUCGCAUGAUUUCAUGAUGGGUCUCUUGCUGGCCGAACACUUAGAGAGAGAUUUUGAUGGUUGUUUUGGUUAGAUUUUAAGAUAUUCUAGUGUUUUUAGUUGAUUGGUGAUGUGUAGCAUGAAAAUCAAGCAAGAAAAAUUCAUGUUCUUCCAUCACCCAUCAUUGGCCGAAUUUUCCAUGUAGAGUGAGGAUGGUGGAUUUGAUUUUAUUUCAAGUGAAUUGGUUAGGAAAUGAUGAAUUAUGGUGAGAAAAUCAAAUAGGAAAAAUCAUAGUAUUGAUGCACCCACCAUGGCCGAAAUUCCCAAGAAAAAAUGUGAAGAUGAUUUUGCUAAAUUUUAUGCUAUUUGACUUGUGUUUGAUGGUUUGGAGAAUUGGAAGAAAAAUGGAGUUAAUUGGAGUUGAAUUGGACAUAUUGGCCAAUUAAUCGAGUGAUAGAUCGAAUUAGGCCAAUACCAUAUUAUUUAGGUAGACAAUUGAAUUUGUGUAAAACACUGUGUUUAGACGAUAAUCCGAACAAUUUGCAUUCCAUUUCAUGCAUUAGUAUAAAGCCUGAAUUGAUUUUAUAACAAUUUAGCACAAAUGUAGUAAAUGGCUUAUUGUGCAUUAUGUCUAGGUGGUAAGCAUUCCAUCAAAAGUAAAAAGAUAGUACCCGAGGAUCAAGAAUCGGAGUACUCGGAAGUCAAUUUCCAUUACAGUGAGUAACCUUACUAUCAUCUUAAUUAUCUAAGUGGUUUUAUCCAUUUUGUGUAUUUAUGGNCCAUUUUGUGAUUUUAUGGAAAAUGAGUUAAAUCGUAAAUCUUUGUGUUUUGUAAUUAAAAUGUGAUUUAAUGAAAUGAUUUAAUAACAUUGUCUUGAAAUGAAAUGAUGGUUUGAAAAUAGAGUAAUUGGAUACUGUUUUCAUGUGUUGUAAAUUCAUGGUUUGAAUCGAAUGGCUUAUGACAAUAUUUGCAUGAAUGGCUGAAUUGGUAUUUGUGUUGAAAUAUAUGAACUAUGUAUUUAGCCUUGAGAGGCUGGAUUGGAUAUAAUUGCCAUGUCAUGCGGUUGAGAUUUUAUUGAAUUUGUGGGAUAUUGAUUAGCUUACUGCAGUGGGCGGGUUCCGUGGACCAGCCUAUUAGAAGGGCAUGGUAACCCCGUUAUAUUCUUACCUCGGUCGGAGAGGUGCGUAGGGUAACUUUCGAGGUACAUCUUUAGAGUUCACUUCACGCCAAACCACCACGUGAGGGUGAACUCAACCAACGCCAAGGAAUGGCUAUGUUUUCAAAAUGAAAACAUACAUGACUUUUUAACAGCCUUGGCGGACUUGGUUGGAAUAGCCUUAGGCCCGGGUAUCCCUAACAACUGAGUAUGAGAAUGAUUUUGGCACGAGCCAAAGUUUUAAGAAAUUCAUAAGCCAUGUUGAUUACUCGAUUUAUAUGAAUUGAUUUUAUUUGGUUGAAAUGAGUUGAAAGGUGAUGAAUUACUGUAUGAUGAUCUAUUCUAAUCUGUCUCCAUUUACUUAGAUUUAUAUAUUUUACAUGGUAUUUGUUUACUCACUAGGAUUAUAUAAUCUCAUCACUCUCUUUUCCACCCAUUUCAAGCUCAGGAUAGUCGGUAGAUAGCUCAUUUCGUUGAGGGCUACAAUUGGACUUGCAUCCUUAAAAAUUGUAGGUUUAUCGCUUUUGAUACUUUUGGUCGUUCGUGGGCCUAUGUGUCACCGUAAAUUAAAUCUUAUGCUUUGGUUAUCUGUAUUACAGUAAGUACGACUUUAUUUAGCUUUUACGCUAUAAAAAUUAUUUACCGAUAACUCUAUAAAUAUUGUUUUAUAAGAAAAUAGAAUAUUUUAUUGAAUAUUUUUAUUAUAUUCAAAUAGUUAUAGUUUCACUUUAAAUGAAUGUUUCAAACAUCUAAACUUAUUUUGAUUAUGAAAUAUGUGUUUUCCACUUGCAUACUACAUUUUUAGCUGGUUUCGAGAUUUUUGAGGAAAAAUGACCAAAAUGCCCCUGUGAGAAAAAAGUUAUUUUUCUAUUGUUUUGAUUUGGAAAUAGUUUAUAAUCUCUCAAACAUGAUACCUAACAACUGUUGCUCACAAGGGAGGUGCAAAAACUGAUGUUAAGCGUUGCGAGAUUUCGAUUGGCAUUCCGAGUAAUGAAUGUCUAUCGGGACAUCGCGGCAGUUGUCACGAGCUCGUUAGGAGUUCCGGGUCGUGACAGCAAGUGCAUGAAGUUUAUAGAAUGAACUGCAAACGAAUGGUUAAGUGUAGAUUUUCUAGACAUGCAGCGGCAUUUUGGGCAUAACUUGCAUUAUAAAAGCCCAAUUCAUGGGAUUUUUGCACCAUUGGAAAGCUAAGACAAAGGCUACAAUUUUCAUGUGUACCACUUCAUUGAGUUUUUAUCGAAAAGUGUCAAAAUCCUUGUCAAAGUUGAAGUAUUGCACUAGGAGAGAGAAAAUCAAGAUAUAACCUUGAGAGUCGUAGCUCUGGAUCAUGAAGGCUGUAACGUUGGAAAAGGAGUAAAACAUGGGCACCAACAUAGAUAAGUGAGGGCCAUGACUCUAAAGAAUGAGAGUUGUGAUGCUCAAAGAAAUUCCUUUUCUUUUUUUACACUUUUGAUUUUUUUUAUUUUAGAGCUUUUUGAGGGCUUAUAAAUAGUUUUUUUUGGGUAAAAGAACAUAAAAGAGACUGCGUGGUAGUUUUUUAGAGAAAAAAAGAGGGUUUUCACAAGAAAAAAAUGAAAAGAAGGCAAGUUUAGUGAGGAUCGUAUUUGAUAGAAGACUAUUUCUCUCUUUAGUUUUUGUUUAUCUCUGAAACAUGUUGUUUGCUUUUGUUAUGAUGGGCUAAACUAUUUUUCUAGAAUUGUGGUGGAUUCAACAUGUAGUUGAAUAUUUUAGUUCUCUUAGAUUUAUGAUGAAUGGGUUUGUUUAUGUUUAUUCAAUUUUGCACUUAAUGCUUUUGAUUGUAUGGCCAGCAAUUGAAUGAUUAGAAAAUCUAAUUAAGGCUUAACAGAGUGAUUUUAAAUUAGACCAUUGUUUUGAAUAGUGUAUGUUCAUAUCACUUAGGAUUAAGUGCUUUGAUUCGUAAUUGAGGUAGACAUACACCUAAAUGCCAUAAAUAGUCAAAUUAGAACACUAACUUAAAUAACCAUGUUUAAUUGAUUACUAUAGACAUAUAGUGACCCAAUUAAGUUAGGUAUUUGUACAAGUAGCUCGAUGGAGACUUGCGCAUAAUAUUGGAUUCUAGACUAGCAAAAACCACCCAUGAAUUUAAAUAUGAAGAAAAAAGAAUGUCAAACGAAAUGUUGAUUGAAUCCACAAUCCUGGUUUUAAUUUAUUGUUUCUCUAAUGAAUUCUUAGUUUUUUAUUUAAUUUAAAUAUUUAAUUGAAUUUGGUUGUUCAAUAAUUUUCUAAAAGUGAAUGACUUGAAUAAGAUUAAUUUUUGAGAAUUUUAGCACUUAGUAAACUUUUAGGAGCAAAUCCUUAUGGGAUACGAUUAUGAACUUAUUGACCAUAUUGCUUGUUCGACACGUAUACUUGCAUGUGCUAAAUCGACAACAAGAGAAGGCAUAAUCGACGCUGACAAGUCAAAGGACAAAAAAAGUCAAGAUUACAUAGCCAUUGUUGACUAUAGAGGAAGCAUAGUCGACUAUAGCAGGCCAGAUUUGCAAAAUACAUGCUCUUUGGAAGUUGAUCAACUAGAGAAAGGUUAUACUUAACUAUGGAAGCCCUAAUUGAGAAAUUUAAAGAACAUAGUCGACCCUUAAGCUUCAGCACGGUUAGAUUUGAUUCAGACUUGUGUCUAACGGCUCUUAACAUUGCCCUAGCUAUAACUAAAUACAUUGAAGGGAUUUUGAAGUAAGAGAAUAUCUAAAGCAAAGCUUCAAACCUUAGAGAGACUACCCAAAAGCUUUUCUUUAUUCUCUAGCAUCUUUUUAGUCUGCCACCAUGUAAAAUCUGACCCUAUAAACACAUGUCGUGACAUACAUGCCACUGAGUAGCAUGUUAUUACGCUAGAAAAACACCUAAGAAUAGACGAAACCAAGUAUCGUACCUAACGGUACACUUAAAUUGAUUAACCUCGUAUUAGUUCAAAUAGGAAUUGUAGGUUGAAAUUUAAUAUUUUAUAGUCACGGAAUGACUAAAAAUGAUUGUUCGGAGUUCGAGGUUCAUUUGGGGUAAAAUUGGAAUUUUUGAUGUUUAGGGGCAAAAUCGGCAUUUUGCCACCUAAGAUAAUAAUUUGAUCAUGAGUGAAAUUUUUUGACCAAGAUUAACUAUUUGGAGUAUAAGUUAAUGAUAGGAAGUCAAAAAGUUUAAUUCUGGUGAUUUAUGGAGUGUAGGGGCAAAAUCGUAAAUUUUCCAACCGCNNNNNNNNNNNNNNNNNNNNNNNNNNNNNNNNNNNNNNNNNNNNNNNNNNNNNNNNNNNNNNNNNNNNNNNNNNNNNNNNNNNNNNNNNNNNNNNNNNNNNNNNNNNNNNNNNNNNNNNNNNNNNNNNNNNNNNNNNNNNNNNNNNNNNNNNNNNNNNNNNNNNNNNNNNNNNNNNNNNNNNNNNNNNNNNNNNNNNNNNNNNNNNNNNNNNNNNNNNNNNNNNNNNNNNNNNNNNNNNNNNNNNNNNNNNNNNNNNNNNNNNNNNNNNNNNNNNNNNNNNNNNNNNNNNNNNNNNNNNNNNNNNNNNNNNNNNNNNNNNNNNNNNNNNNNNNNNNNNNNNNNNNNNNNNNNNNNNNNNNNNNNNNNNNNNNNNNNNNNNNNNNNNNNNNNNNNNNNNNNNNNNNNNNNNNNNNNNNNNNNNNNNNNNNNNNNNNNNNNNNNNNNNNNNNNNNNNNNNNNNNNNNNNNNNNNNNNNNNNNNNNNNNNNNNNNNNNNNNNNNNNNNNNNNNNNNNNNNNNNNNNNNNNNNNNNNNNNNNNNNNNNNNNNNNNNNNNNNNNNNNNNNNNNNNNNNNNNNNNNNNNNNNNNNNNNNNNNNNNNNNNNNNNNNNNNNNNNNNNNNNNNNNNNNNNNNNNNNNNNNNNNNNNNNNNNNNNNNNNNNNNNNNNNNNNNNNNNNNNNNNNNNNNNNNNNNNNNNNNNNNNNNNNNNNNNNNNNNNNNNNNNNNNNNNNNNNNNNNNNNNNNNNNNNNNNNNNNNNNNNNNNNNNNNNNNNNNNNNNNNNNNNNNNNNNNNNNNNNNNNNNNNNNNNNNNNNNNNNNNNNNNNNNNNNNNNNNNNNNNNNNNNNNNNNNNNNNNNNNNNNNNNNNNNNNNNNNNNNNNNNNNNNNNNNNNNNNNNNNNNNNNNNNNNNNNNNNNNNNNNNNNNNNNNNNNNNNNNNNNNNNNNNNNNNNNNNNNNNNNNNNNNNNNNNNNNNNNNNNNNNNNNNNNNNNNNNNNNNNNNNNNNNNNNNNNNNNNNNNNNNNNNNNNNNNNNNNNNNNNNNNNNNNNNNNNNNNNNNNNNNNNNNNNNNNNNNNNNNNNNNNNNNNNNNNNNNNNNNNNNNNNNNNNNNNNNNNNNNNNNNNNNNNNNNNNNNNNNNNNNNNNNNNNNNNNNNNNNNNNNNNNNNNNNNNNNNNNNNNNNNNNNNNNNNNNNNNNNNNNNNNNNNNNNNNNNNNNNNNNNNNNNNNNNNNNNNNNNNNNNNNNNNNNNNNNNNNNNNNNNNNNNNNNNNNNNNNNNNNNNNNNNNNNNNNNNNNNNNNNNNNNNNNNNNNNNNNNNNNNNNNNNNNNNNNNNNNNNNNNNNNNNNNNNNNNNNNNNNNNNNNNNNNNNNNNNNNNNNNNNNNNNNNNNNNNNNNNNNNNNNNNNNNNNNNNNNNNNNNNNNNNNNNNNNNNNNNNNNNNNNNNNNNNNNNNNNNNNNNNNNNNNNNNNNNNNNNNNNNNNNNNNNNNNNNNNNNNNNNNNNNNNNNNNNNNNNNNNNNNNNNNNNNNNNNNNNNNNNNNNNNNNNNNNNNNNNNNNNNNNNNNNNNNNNNNNNNNNNNNNNNNNNNNNNNNNNNNNNNNNNNNNNNNNNNNNNNNNNNNNNNNNNNNNNNNNNNNNNNNNNNNNNNNNNNNNNNNNNNNNNNNNNNNNNNNNNNNNNNNNNNNNNNNNNNNNNNNNNNNNNNNNNNNNNNNNNNNNNNNNNNNNNNNNNNNNNNNNNNNNNNNNNNNNNNNNNNNNNNNNNNNNNNNNNNNNNNNNNNNNNNNNNNNNNNNNNNNNNNNUUUCCACCCAUUUCAGGUUCAGUAUAGACUGUAGAUAGCUGAUCUCAUCGAGGACUACCAUUGGAUCUGCAUUUUCCAAACCGUAGGUUCACAGUCCUCUUUACUUUUGUUUAUUCGGGGGCCCUCUUGUUAUUGUAAAUUAAAUUAAAUAUUUUGGCUUAUUGUAUUUUAGUAUGUAUAAAUUUAUUUAGCUUUUACGCUAUAAAAAAAUUAUUCACGUAUAACUCUAUAGAUAUUGUUUUAUAAGAAAAUAGAAUAUUUCCCUUAAUAUUUUUUUUAUUUUCUUAUUAUAUUCAAAUAACCGUAAUUUCGUUUUAAAUGAAGAUUUUAGACUUUUAAACUCAUUUUGAAUAUGAAUUAUGUGUUUUGUACUUGUAUAUUACGUUUUAGCCGGUUUCAAAAUUUUUGAGAAAAAAUGACCAAAAUACCCCUGUGUGGUGAAAAUUUUAUUUUGAUUGUUUUUGAUCUAAAAUAGUAUAUAUUCUCUAAAAACUCGAUAUUUAACAACGAUUGCUCACAGGAAAGGAAAGAAACUGAUAUGUAAGCCUUGCAGGGUUCCGGUUGGCAUUCCGGAUAAUGAGUGUUAAUCGGGGACGUCGCGGCGAUUGUCAUGGGCCUGAGGGAGGUUUCGGGUCGUGACAAUUCGAUUGGUAUCAGAGCCUUUGGUUUUAAAGAUAAGAGUUUUUAGUUUUAAAGUGGUUUUAAAAAUUUACAAUAUCAAUGUGGCCCCGGAUUAAGUUAGGUUAGGUUGAAUAGAAUGCAUGCAUUUUCAUAUAGAGCCUAAAGUUCCCUAAGCUUGCUCGUUUUCUCUUAUAGAUUAUUAUGCCUCCUCGACGCGGACGCCCACCUCUCACUAGAUCGGUUGGGGGGGGGGGAAAAGGUCGUUCCCAACGUCGUCAGCUAGAUGCAGUAGGGGAAGAAUCGACUGCGUCUACCAUUCAGGCAGCACCUACUGCUGAGCAGGCCGAUAGUCCUCCACAUCCUCCACCUCCUCCGCCACCUACAGGUAUUCCCACCAUGCCUACUGAGGUAGCACAAGCAUUGGCAGCUUUCUUUACCGCAAUGGCUGGUGGAGCUCCGACUGGUCAAGUUCCACCUAUAGUACCACCAGUUGCUCCUUUAGUUCCACCACCGGUACAAGAUGUAUCCAUUUCCAAGAAGCUAAAGGAGGCUAGACAGCUCGGUUGUGUGUCUUUCACGGGUGAGUUGGAUGCCACUGUGGCAAAGGACUGACUCUCUCUGAUAUGAGAUUAGAAAACGACAUGAAACUGAUGGUGGCUACUAGAUUAUUAGAGAAGAGGGCUCGUACUUGGUGGAAUUCAGUGAAGUCCCAUUCCAUUACUCCUCAUACGUGGCCCGAUUUUAUCAAGGAAUUCGAUGGUCAAUAUUUCACUUAUUUUCAUCAUAAAGAAAAGAAGAGAUAAUUUUUGAGUUUGAAACAGGGGAAUCUAACUGUAGAGGAGUACGAGACUCGUUUUAACGAGUUGAUGUUAUAUGUGCCAGAUCUGGUGAAAUCUGAGUAUGAUCAGGCCAGUUAUUUCGAGGAAGGGCUCCGUAAUGAGAUUAGAGAGCGAAUGACAGUGACCGGUAGGGAGCCGCAUAAGGAGGUGGUACAGAUGGCUUUACGGGCUAAGAAGAUCGUGACUGAGAAUAGGAGGAUUCGGACUGAGUUUGCAAAAAGGAGGAAUCCUGGUAUGUCUUUUAGUCAGCCAGUAAAAAGAGGCAAGGACUCAGCGAUUUCAGGGAGCACUACUUCUGUUUCCGUGACAUCUCCUCGACCUCUAUUUCCACCAUCACAACAGAGACCUUCGAGGUUUAGCAGAUCUGCUAUGACUGGUUUUGGGAAGAGUUUCGGAGGUUCUGACCGAUGCAUAAAUUGUGGGAAUUAUCAUAAUGGGCUAUGUAGAGGGCCAACAAGAUGUUUCCAAUGUAGACAGACGGGUCAUAUUAGGAGUAAUUACCCACGGUUAGGACGAGCCACGGUAGUUGCAUCAUUUUCACCAACUCACACUGAUAUGUAGAGAAAAGAUUUUUCUGGGUUGCCACCGAGACAAGGAGUGGCCAUACGGUCCAGUGUGGAGAGUAAUACCCCGGCACAUCCACCUUCGAGACCACAGACUCGUACCUUGACAAGAGUUUUCGCUAUGACAAAAGAUGAGGCACGGGUUCGACCUAGAGCAAUGACAGGUACUAUGUCUUUAUUUGAUAAAGAUGCUUAUGUUUUGAUAGAUUCUGUCUCAAAUAAGUCUUAUGUGAGCACCACAUUUGCAUCAAUUGCUGAUAGAAACCUGUCACCAUUAGAGGAAGAAAUUGUAAUUCACACCCCUUUAGGAGAAAAGCUAGUUAGAAGCAGUUGUUAUAGAGAUUGUGGGGUAAGGGUAGGCGAGGAAGAAUUUAGGGGUGACUUAAUUCCUCUAGAGAUCCUGGAUUUUGAUCUAAUAUUCGGUAUGGACUGGUUAACUGCACAUCGAACGAACGUGGAUUAUUUUCGAAAGGAAGUUGUUCUUCAAAAUUUGGAGGGAGCAGAGAUUGUGUUUGUUGAGAAACGUCGAGUAUUACUGUCCUGUGUAAUCUCGGUCAUCAAAGCUUCGAAAUUAGUGCAGAAAGGGUAGCCGGAUUAUUUGGCAUACGUAAUUGAUACUUCAAAGGGGGAACCUAAGUUAGAGGAUGUCCCGAUAGUAAGUGAGUUUCCUGAUAUAUUUUCUGAUGAUUUACCAAGACUGCCUCCUGAUCGAGAGCUUGAGUUCCCUAUUGAUUUACUUUCGGGUAACGCACCUAUUUCUAUCCCUCCAUAUAGAAUGGCUCCGGCAGAGUUGAAGGAGUUGAAAGUACAAUUGCAAGAGUUUGUGGACAAGGGUCUUAUACGCCCUAGUAUAUCUUCGCGGGGAGCAUCGGUUUUAUUUGUGAAAAAGAAAGACGGUACACUUCGGUUAUGUAUCGAUUACCGACAGCUUAACAGAAUGACCAUUAAGAACAAGUAUCCGUUACCGAGGAUUGAUGAUCUUUUCGAUCAAUUACAGGGAGCUACAGUGUUUUCCAAGGUUGAUCUAAGGUCUGGGUAUCAUCAGUUGAGGAUUAAAGAACAGGAUGUACCCAAGACAGCAUUCAGGACUCGGUACGGUCAUUAUGAGUUCUUGGUCAUGCCUUUCGGGUUAACUAACGCACCGGCAGCUUUUAUGGAUCUCAUGAAUAGGGUGUUCCACCCUUACUUGGACAAGUUUGUUAUUGUGUUCAUUGAUGACAUACUGGUUUACUCGAGAGAUAAUGAUGAGCACGCUGCCCACUUGCGUAUAGUAUUACAAACUUUGAGGGAAAGACAGUUGUAUGCAAAGUUUUCGAAGUGUGAGUUUUGGUUACAGGAAGUGGUAUUCUUGGGACACGUAGUAUCGAGAACUGGAAUAUAUGUUGAUCCUAAGAAAGUAGAGGCAAUUUUACAAUGGGAGCAACCUAAGACAGUGACGGAGAUUCGUAGUUUCCUCGGAUUAGCCGGUUAUUAUCGGAGGUUUGUUCAGGGGUUUUCCUUAAUAGCAGCUCCUUUGACCCGUCUAACUCGUAAGGGAGUUAAGUUUGUGUGGGAUGAUGUUUGUGAGAAUCGAUUUCAGGAGCUAAAGAACCGGUUAACCUCCGCUCCCGUUUUAACACUUCCUGUUAAUGGUAAGGGAUUUGUAGUAUAUAGUGAUGCCUCAAAGUUGGGGUUGGGGUGCGUAUUGAUGCAGGAUGAAAAAGUUGUGGCUUAUGCUUCUAGACAGCUAAAGAGGCAUGAAGCAAAUUACCCUACCCAUGAUUUAGAGUUAGCAGCAGUGGUGUUUGCUUUAAAAAUCUGGAGGCAUUACUUGUAUGGUGAGCAUUGUCGGAUAUUUACGGAUCAUAAGAGUUUAAAAUAUUUGCUCACCCAAAAGGAGCUUAAUUUGAGGCAAAGGCGAUGGUUGGAGUUGAUAAAAGAUUAUGACUUGGUGAUAGACUAUCAUCCGGGAAAGGCGAACGUUGUAGCUGAUGCCUUAAGUCGUAAGUCUUCAUCGUCUUUAGCAGCACUUCAGAGUUGUUAUUUUCCAGCAUUAAUAGAGAUGAAAUCUCUUGGGGUCCAGUUGAGAAAUGGUGAGGAUGGAUCCUUAUUGGCAAACUUCAUUGUGCGACCUUCGUUACUUAAUCAGAUCAAGGACAUUCAGAGGUCUGAUGAUGAGUUAAGAAAAGAAAUUCAAAAACUGACCGAUGGGGGAGUUAGUGAGUUCAGAUUUGGAGAGGAUAACGUCUUGAUGUUUAAAGAUCGAGUUUGUGUUCCUGAGGGAAACCAGUUGAGACAGGCGAUCAUGGAAGAAGCCCAUUCAUCUGCCUAUGCAUUACAUCCCGGAAGCACCAAGAUGUAUAGGACUAUCAGGGAGAAUUAUUGGUGGCCGGGUAUGAAGCGAGACGUAGCAGAAUUCGUAGCAAAGUGUCUCGUAUGUCAGCAAGUUAAGGCGGAGCAUCAGAGGCCAGCAGGUACACUUCAGUCUUUACCUGUUCCCGAGUGGAAAUGGGAGCAUGUAACUAUGGAUUUUGUUUUGGGAUUGCCGCGGACACAGAGGGGAAAGGAUGCGAUCUGGGUGAUCGUAGAUCGGUUGACUAAGUCCGCUCACUUUUUAGCUGUCCAUAGUACAUACUCUAUUGAGAAGCUGGCUCAGCUCUAUAUAGAUGAGAUUGUGAGGCUACAUGGAGUUCCCGUUUCUAUAGUGUCAGACCGAGAUCCUCGAUUCACUUCUCGAUUCUGGCCGAAAUUUCAAGAAGCUCUCGGAACCAAAUUGAAAUUUAGCACUGCUUUUCACCCACAGACGGAUGGUCAGUCAGAAAGGACUAUCCAGACCUUGGAGGAUAUGUUACGGGCUUGUGUCAUUGACUUUAUUGGGAGUUGGGACAGACAUUUGCCAUUGGUGGAAUUUGCUUACAACAAUAGCUUUCAGUCUAGCAUUGGUAUGGCACCAUACGAAGCUUUAUAUGGAAGGAAAUGUCGUACUCCACUUUGUUGGGAUGAAGUGGGUGAAAGAAAGUUAGUGAGUGUGGAAUUGAUCGAGCUAACUAAUGACAAGAUCAAGGUUAUACGAGAGAGGCUAAAGGUAGCCCAGGAUAGGCAGAAGAGCUAUGCAGAUAAACGGAGAAAAGACUUGGAGUUUGAGAUCGAUGAUAAAGUUUUUCUUAAGGUUUCUCCUUGGAAAGGUAAUAAUUUGAAUACUUUGAAGUAUUAAAUCUUAUUGAUUAUACUAUCAUGAUAAAUUAUGGUGUUUUAUUGGAUAAUGAAAGGUGUGAUUCGAUUUGCGAAUAGGGGAAAGCUUAACCCGAGAUAUAUUGGACCAUUUCGAAUCAUUGAAAGGAUUGGACCAGUGGCUUAUCGGUUAGAAUUACCUUUGGAGUUAGAUCGGAUCCACAACAUUUUCCAUGUCUCCAUGCUUAAGAAAUAUGUACCAGAUCCCUCUCACGUCGAGGUCAUAUUUUUAAGUUUUCAUGAACCUGAGCAUUUCUAGACCAUUAUGGACCUUAUCCCAGUGUCAAAAGAGUAAAAAGAUUGCAAAAAGGAUUGGAGGAGAACAAGUUAACUUGUGAGGGCAUUUUUGUAAUUUAAGUGAAGUGGAUAAGCAUGGGCUAUAAUUAUCUUGUUCUUCCAGCAACUUCUUCAUUCUCCAACAACUUUUUUCCUUCUUCUUCCUCUCAUCUCAUGUUGCUUUCAUCCUCCAGGAAAACUUGAUAUGAAAGCUACAUAACCUCCCUUAAAAUAACUCCACUUUUCAUGCCUUGGUGCACUUCUUUCAUAAACCCUUGUGCUCUUCCACUCUCUCACUUUGAAACCCUUGAAAAAUCUUGUUUCCAUACUUUCUCUCACUAGUUAGGUGUUUUAGAGAGAGAAAGAGGAAGAUUUAAUAAUAGCUUGAAAGUUGUUAGGAAGAAUUUCAAAUACAUGCUACCAAGGUGAGUAGUACACUAGAAUUGAGUUUUUAUGUUGAAAAUGAUUAGUGUUUAGACUUGGGAGUGAUUUGGUAGUUGGGGUUGUUCAUUCACUUUAGAGUGAUUAGAAUAGUGAACUUAGAUAGCCACUUAAAUGGCAAUUUGAAAGCUAACUAAGAGAAAGCUUUUAGAUUUUAUAAGUAUGUGAAUUGACUUAAUGGUGAUGCUAAUGUGAUAAUAAGUUCCAAUGAAGCCCCAUCGCCCCAUUUGGACCAAUAGAGGAAGUUGGAAUUGAGUAAGGAUUUAACAAAAUAUCGGUGAGUGAACUUGCAUUUCAAAAUUUGUUUUGGGAAAGUAACUUAUUUGCACAAUAUACUUGAAUGAUUUUAUCCAACUUUCCUUAAAAACAAAUGCCUUGGGAACAAGCCUUUGAUAAAUUGAUUUUAUGUUGUGACAUGCGAUUGUUAUGGAUUCAUGCACUACUACAUUAUGUUGGUAUAUAUAUAUAUAGAUAUAUAUAUGUUGUGCAUGAUAGUUGAUAUUGUGUGAUGAUUAUAACCGUUUGUGUGCACGAUGUGGGGGAAUGCACAUGCCGGUAAUGGUGGUGGUGAGGGAGAUGGAUGAUGAUAGUGCCCAUGUGCACGAUGUGGGGGGAUGCACCUGAUGACUCCGGUUAUUUGCACGAUGUGGGGGGAUGCACCUGAUGACUCCAGUUAUGUGCACGAUGUGGGGGGAUGCACAUGAGCUAGAUGAGAUGAUAAUGGUAUUGGUAUUUAUCCAUGUAUGUAUAUGUAUAUAUGUUUAGAGAAUGAAAACUCAUAAAUAUGGUUUAUGGUUGAAAUGCAUAUGAAUUUGGCACGUUGAACUUUAGAAAUCUUUAUGUGUUUCAUGUUGAUUUUGUUAUUUCAAUAGGAUAGCUUUUUCUUGAGGGGAAUGGAAACUUUUUUUUUCUUGGUGCUCUGAUUCUCGCUGCAGCGAGAUUCAUUUUCACUGUAGUGAGAAAACUCUCGGGUUUAGAGGGGUAAUGCUAGCCAGAAUCUCGUUGCAGCGAGAAACUUUAUGUUUUGGCCAAGUGAAACUCGUUGUAGUGAGAAAGAAUCUCGCUGUAGCGAGAAACCUUCUAUCCAUUUUGCUAUCUUGUGGGUUUUUUGCCAUUUUUUCCAUUUCAUUUAUACCCUAGUUGAGCAUGGACUUCCAACAUGUUUGGGGAUUAUCUAACUAAGUUUGGAAUGAGGAAAUUUUGAGAGAAACCCUCGGUCGGUUGAGAAACCCUCGUUUAGCUAGUAACUCGAGCCCUAACUUCGUUGCCUCGAAAAUUCAUUCUCGCUACAGCGAGGACCCGUCUUUUCAUUGGACUUACUUAUAUAUCACUGAAACCUUCAUUCCUCAAUUUCUUUGUUAUGUUUGGAUUCAUAAUUAUCAAGUGAUUAACCAUUCAAGGGUCUACGGAGGGGUUUUAAUAAGAGUAAAACUAAAUUGCAUUGUUUUUAAACAAGUGCAGCAUGAUUUUCAAAUUUUUCCUAUUGAUUGCUUGUUCCCUUUCUGUUCACUCACUGGGUUUAUACUCACUGUUUUCAACUUCAUGUUUUCAGAUCAGGAGGCAGUCAGAAAUUAGGUCGAGGUGACCUCAUUAAUUUGAUUAUUGGUAGGUGUCUCGGCAUUCA